rnacentral:rRNA from 1 species
CUACGGGAGGCAGCAGUGGGGAAUUUUGGACAAUGGGCGCAAGCCUGAUCCAGCCAUUCCGCGUGAGUGAAGAAGGCCUUCGGGUUGUAAAGCUCUUUCGCAAGGGAAGAAAACUUAUCCUCUAACAUAGGGUGAGGUUGACGGUACCUUGAUAAGAAGCACCGGCUAACUACGUGCCAGCAGCCGCGGUAAUACGUAGGGUGCGAGCGUUAAUCGGAAUUACUGGGCGUAAAGCGUGCGCAGGCUGUUUUGUAAGUCAGAUGUGAAAUCCCCGAGCUCAACUUGGGAACUGCGUUUGAACUACAAGACUAGAAUAUGGCAGAGGGGGGUAGAAUUCCAUGUGUAGCAGUGAAAUGCGUAGAGAUGUGGAGGAAUACCAAUGGCGAAGGCAGCCCCCUGGGAUAAUAUUGACGCUCAUGCACGAAAGCGUGGGGAGCAAACAGGAUUAGAUACCCGCGUAGUC